AUGCCAGCACACGAGGUCUUUUCACGCCUCCUGCUUACUGAGCAACGAGUCGAGACGCGCCGAUCCAGGGGCAACGGCGCCCUCUCGACAAACGCCGCCACCAAGGGUGGUCGCUCCUCUGCUUCAUCCAGGGCUCCUUCGGGGCAGUCACCACCACCCGCCUCGGCCCCUCCUCCUACUGCGACGCUACCAGGGGCUGGCGGUCCACGUGUGUGCCAGCUUUAUGGUCGCGAUGGGCACUGGGCCUCGAAGUGUCACAAGCGCUUCCAGCGGGGUUUUCUUGGUCUCGGCAAUGACGGGAAGGAUACACGCAACUUUGCUCGUCAGGUCGCCAUGGCUGAUCGUCCGCCGCCGCAGAAGCCACAGGGACACACUCAGUCCUACUCCAUUGAUCCCCACUGGUACAUGGACUCUGGGGCGACAGAGCACCUGACUAGUGAGAUGGGGAAGCUUCACACUCGUGAACCCUACCAUGGCUCCGACAAGAUCCACACCGCCAAUGGAGCAGGUAUGCACAUCUCUCAUAUUGGUCAAGCAUCACUUCUCACUAGACAUGCCAAUAGGAGUCUUCAACUUCGCAAUGUUCUUUGA
rnacentral:rRNA from 1 species